rnacentral:rRNA from 1 species
GAUGAACGCUGGCGGCGUGCCUGAUACAUGCAAGUCGAGCGAACGGACGAGAAGCUUGCUUCUCUGAUGUUAGCGGCGGACGGGUGAGUAACACGUGGAUAACCUACCUAUAAGACUGGGAUAACUUCGGGAAACCGGAGCUAAUACCGGAUGAUAUUUUGAACCGCAUGGUUCAAAAGUGAAAGACGGUCUUGCUGUCACUUAUAGAUGGAUCCGCGCUGCAUUAGCUAGUUGGUAAGGUAACGGCUUACCAAGGCAACGAUGCAUAGCCGACCUGAGAGGGUGAUCGGCCACACUGGAACUGAGACACGGUCCAGACUCCUACGGGAGGCAGCAGUAGGGAAUCUUCCGCAAUGGGCGAAAGCCUGACUGAGCAACGCCGCGUGAGUGAUGAAGGUCUUCGGAUCGUAAAACUCUGUUAUUAGGGAAGAACAUAUGUGUAAGUAACUGUGCACAUCUUGACGGUACCUAAUCAGAAAGCCACGGCUAACUACGUG